GAUGAACGCUGGCGGCGUGCCUAAUACAUGCGAGUCGAGCGAACAGACGAGGAGCUUGCUCCUCUGACGUUAGCGGCGGACGGGUGAGUAACACGUGGAUAACCUACCUAUAAGACUGGGAUAACUUCGGGAAACCGGAGCUAAUACCGGAUAAUAUAUUGAACCGCAUGGUUCAAUAGUGAAAGACGGUUUUGCUGUCACUUAUAGAUGGAUCCGCGCCGCAUUAGCUAGUUGGUAAGGUAACGGCUUACCAAGGCAACGAUGCGUAGCCGACCUGAGAGGGUGAUCGGCCACACUGGAACUGAGACACGGUCCAGACUCCUACGGGAGGCAGCAGUAGGGAAUCUUGCGCAAUGGGCGAAAGCCUGACGGAGCAACGCCGCGUGAGUGAUGAAGGUCUUCGGAUCGUAAAACUCUGUUAUUAGGGAAGAACAAAUGUGUAAGUAACUAUGCACGUCUUGACGGUACCUAAUCAGAAAGCCACGGCUAACUACGUG
rnacentral:rRNA from 1 species